rnacentral:tRNA from 1 species
GACGGUAUAGCUCAGUGGUAGAGAGAGUCCUUAGAGCACUUAGCAUGUGCAAGGUCCUGGGUUCAAUCCCCAGUACCUCCA